GCCUGGGUGGCUUAGUCAGUUAAGCAUCUGACUUUGGCUCAGAUCGUUAUCUUGUGGUGUGUGAGUUCGAGCCCCACAUUAGGCU
rnacentral:tRNA from 1 species